UACGGGGGGGGCAAGCGUUGUUCGGAAUUACUGGGCGUAAAGGGCUCGUAGGCGGCCAACUAAGUCGGAUGUGAAAUCCCCAGGCUUAACCUGGGAACUGCAUCCGAUACUGGAUGGCUUGAAUCCGGGAGAGGGAUGCAGAAUUCCAGGUGUAGCGGUGAAAUGCGUAGAUAUCUGGAGGAAUACCGGUGGCGAAGGCGGCAUCCUGGACCGGCAUUGACGCUGAGUGGGCGAAAGCCAGGGGAGCAAACGGG
rnacentral:rRNA from 1 species